rnacentral:rRNA from 1 species
UACGUAGGGGGCAAGCGUUGUCCGGAUUUAUUGGGCGUAAAGAGCGUGUAGGCGGCCAGGUAGGUCCGCUGUGAAAACUCGAGGCUCAACCUCGAGAUGUCGGCGGAAACCAUCUGGCUAGAGUCCGGAAGAGGAGAGUGGAAUUCCUGGUGUAGCGGUGAAAUGCGCAGAUAUCAGGAAGAACACCCGUGGCGAAGGCAGGUCUCUGGGCCAUAACUGACGCUGAGAAGCGAAAGCAUGGGGAGCGAACAGG